UGUUAAAAAUUUUAUUCAUUUCUACUAUUAAAGACUGGCGUGGCUGACGUAAUAACUAGACAACCACAUGAACAUUAUGCUCAUGUACAGGGACCAGUUUUUAAUAGUAAAAAUGGUUAAAAUUUUUGACA
rfam:Gossypium hirsutum cultivar TM-1 chromosome 12, whole genome shotgun sequence